AUUGAACGCUGGCGGCAUGCCUUACACAUGCAAGUCGAACGGUAACAGGUCUUCGGAUGCUGACGAGUGGCGAACGGGUGAGUAAUACAUCGGAACGUGCCUAGUAGUGGGGGAUAACUACUCGAAAGAGUGGCUAAUACCGCAUGAGAUCUACGGAUGAAAGCAGGGGAUCGUAAGACCUUGUGCUACUAGAGCGGCCGGUGGCAGAUUAGGUAGUUGGUGGGAUAAAAGCUUACCAAGCCGACGAUCUGUAGCUGGUCUGAGAGGACGAUCAGCCACACUGGGACUGAGACACGGCCCAGACUCCUACGGGAGGCAGCAGUGGGGAAUUUUGGACAAUGGGCGCAAGCCUGAUCCAGCAAUGCCGCGUGCAGGAUGAAGGCCUUCGGGUUGUAAACUGCUUUUGUACGGAACGAAAAGCCCUGGGUUAAUACCCUGGGGUCAUGACGGUACCGUAAGAAUAAGCACCGGCUAACUACGUGCCAGCCGCCGCCGUAAAAC
rnacentral:rRNA from 1 species